UGCCGCAGCCAUAGCGAGAGGGAAACGCCCGGUCCCAUUCCGAACCCGGAAGCUAAGCCUCCCAGCGCCGAUGGU
rnacentral:rRNA from 1 species